AAGAGUGGCGAACGGGUGAGUAACACGUGGGUAACCUGCCCAUCAGAAGGGGAUAACACUUGGAAACAGGUGCUAAUACCGUAUAACAAUCGAAACCGCAUGGUUUUGAUUUGAAAGGCGCUUUCGGGUGUCGCUGAUGGAUGGACCCGCGGUGCAUUAGCUAGUUGGUGAGGUAACGGCUCACCAAGGCCACGAUGCAUAGCCGACCUGAGAGGGUGAUCGGCCACAUUGGGAUGAGACACGGCCCAAACUCCUACGGGAGGCAGCAGUAGGGAAUCUUCGGCAAUGGACGAAAGUCUGACCGAGCAACGCCGCGUGAGUGAAGAAGGUUUUCGGAUCGUAAAACUCUGUUGUUAGAGAAGAACAAGGAUGAGAGUAACUGUUCAUCCCUUGACGGUAUCUAACCAGAAAGCACGGCUAACUACGUGCCAGCAGCCGCGGUAAUACGUAGGUGGCAAGCGUUGUCCGGAUUUAUUGGGCGUAAAGCGAGCGCAGGCGGUUUCUUAAGUCUGAUGUGAAAGCCCCCGGCUCAACCGGGGAGGGUCAUUGGAAACUGGGAGACUUGAGUGCAGAAGAGGAGAGUGGAAUUCCAUGUGUAGCGGUGAAAUGCGUAGAUAUAUGGAGGAACACCAGUGGCGAAGGCGGCUCUCUGGUCUGUAACUGACGCUGAGGCUCGAAAGCGUGGGGAGCAAACAGGAUAUAC
rnacentral:rRNA from 1 species